UGUGAUCUUAGCCCCUCACCGGUCUAUGCGUCUCUCACUGGGCUAAAUACCUCCUUCCCCACCCGACCAAAAUCUAAACGAGCUCUUCCAAGAUCGAACCACAUCAGCUCCGUGUUGCGCAAAGGCGCGGACGCCGAAGUCCUCGCGCAAAGCUCUGAAUCUCGACUUUUGCACGAAGAUGGGAAGCGGGUCGGCCGCUGGAGAAGGAGGCCCCGGUGCACGGCAGGUGGAAGCCGACGCGGGCGCGCUGACCCGCUCCCGCCAGAGGGCGCCACACUCCUCCUCUACCGCUCUCCGGGGCUCGCUUCCAAAGUUCAAACCUCCGGCGAGCGAGCGGAUGGGUGAGCCUUCCAGAUGCUCGCAGUCCCGCCGGGCGGCCGACGACCUGUAGGCAUCGCGGUUUCCCGUUGGUGGCCUGACGAUUUUAUGAGAAAAACACAGCUGGCCUGACAAGGGCUCUUUGAUCAAAUAACUAACUUUUGUACUGCACGACAACGGGAGACGGCAAACUGAGUUUCCUUCUUGGUUUCCAUUUUGGUUUCCAUUCCAUUUUAUGACUCACAAAUGAUUUCCUCCUUUUCCAACGAGAGCAUCAGUCCCACUGGGGGCCUUGAGUGGCGAAGAGAUUCUGAGAAAGUAGGUCUGACAAAAUGAAGCCUUUCUCUAAAAAGGGUCUGUCUAAACAGACCCUGUUAAUCCAGGGUGCAGCUGCCAUGCCGCGGAGCUGCCCCAAGACAUUUUUCCUUCUUGGUGACUGUUGGUCAUCGUAAGGAGACCACGACGGACGCCCUCGGCCACGCGGAGGUUGGGCCAUGUGCCACGCGUACUAGGGAGGGUUGUCCAGGGACAGCCCUUCCAUCGUCACAGCUCUCCCUGUCCACGGGGCUCCAUGAGGGAAAGCUGCUCAGAUAUUUGGGGGAGCCACCCCGGGAGUCCUGAGGGGGUGAGAGGUGAAGCCCCUCUCCCCCUCCACUCCAUCAGACAGGGAUUCCAGCUCUCCUGCCAGAGUGCAGCCGCCCGGCGAGCAAGAAGUUAAACACCAAAUCGCAGUGCCCUGGGUUAAGGCUUUUUUCCUGGGAAAGAAAAAAACGAUUCAGCGACACUUGUCAAAGAUGAGGAGCGAGGCCGAGGCUGCACCCACACUGGGGUUGAUGCUGAGGUGGAGGUAAAGCCACAGGCAGAACCGGAGCAGGGGACACGGCAGGACCUGGACUGCGGGGUGAGCAGCGGCCAGGAGACGGGUUGAUCCGAUGAAACCUCGGGGAGGAUGGAGACCCGCCAAGGAUGCUGGAGGGAGACGGUGCCUCCGCCUGCCAUCUGACACCCACUUAGUCCACCUGGACUCAUCCCGUGGAUGGUUCGCCUGCCACCUGCAGCCAGGAAUGCAGCUCCGAAUCUGCUCUUUCCACACGCAUGUACGAAGCACCGACCGGGUGCCAGCUGCGGUUCCGCAGGACACCAGAGCCUCUGGGGGAACUCGCUUACAGAGCCACAGUUCCCAUCGCUCCCUGAGAUAACUAUCGCUUCUCUUCCUAGACAGCUCUGUCUGCUCCUCUGUCUGAAGGCCGAGUCCGCAUAAGUGCACAUUCCCAAUCACGGAUGAUGGCCCUUCACAGCCCGGCCCCAGCUCACCUGGGCAGCCCCCUCCUCCGAAAUCCUCGGGAAGCUCCCCUAGCCUCAGACCACGUCUGCUUCCUGGAUGUUCCCAGAAUGCCUCAGGCGGGCUGCGGCGCCUCCCCACCCUGAGUUCCAUUGCCGCUGCCCUGAUGGCGUCUCACCUGGACCUUCCCUGCCAUCCUCCUUCCAGGACAGGUUAGCGCCCACUGGCCUUGUGGGCACCCGUGACCUCUGCACCCCUGCCCCCUCACCAUCCCCACCCCAUACGCUGCUGCCCUAGGCCCCGCAGCUCCAUCAUCUCCACCCUGUUGGCAUUCCCA